rnacentral:tRNA from 1 species
CCUUCGAUAGCUCAGCUGGUAGAGCGGAGGACUGUAGUUGGUAUAUGAUAGCAAUCUUAGGUCACUGGUUCAAUUCCUUCUUGAAGGA